rnacentral:rRNA from 1 species
AUUGAACGCUGGCGGCAGGCCUAACACAUGCAAGUCGAACGAGUGGCGGACGGGUGAGGAAUGUCUGGGAAACUGCCCGAUGGAGGGGGAUAACUACAGGAAACGGUAGCUAAUACCGCAUACCGUCGGAAGUGCCCAGAUGGGAUGAGCUUGUGGGUGGGGUAACGGCCCACCUAGGCGACAAUCCCUAGGUGGGGUGAGAGGAGGACCAGCCACACUGGAACUUAGACAUGGCCCAGACUCCUACGGGAGGCAGCAGUGGGGAAUAGUGCACAAUGGGCGAAAGCCUGAUGCAGCCAUGCCGCGUGUAUGAAGAAGGCCUUCGGGUUGUAAAGUACUUUCAGCGAGGAGGCGUUACUCGCAGAAGAAGCACCGGCUAACUCCGUGCCAGCAGCCGCGGUAAUUC